rnacentral:rRNA from 1 species
UGCAGCCUGCAACUCGGUUGCAUGAAGCUGGAAUCGCUAGUAAUCGCGGAUCAGAAUGCCGCGGUGAAUACGUUCCCGGGUCUUGUACACACCGCCCGUCACACCAUGGGAGUCGGGAAUGCCCGAAGUCAGUGACCCAACCGGAAAGGGGGGAGCUGCCGAAGGCAGGCCUGGUAACUGGGGUGAAGUCGUAACAAGGUAGC